rnacentral:lncRNA from 1 species
GAAAAUAAAAUGAAGUCCAGUCCGUGAAAAUAUCUACUCCUAUACUAUAUACAACUUACACACUAUCGGGUCGGGUCGGAUGAUUCGGCCCAAAAUUAAAUAACCUGUGGGCUCAGAUGCACAGUAAUCAUCAUAGCCCAUUACAAGGUAUACCAUGAGUAUACCGCUAAUAUAUAAUGAGUAUACAAUGAAUAUACAAAGUCUAUACAAGUGUAUGUCAGGUAUGAUCUCUUAUCUCAACAGUAGAGAGUUUUGGGAGAAUUGAUUUUUUUGUAUUUCUUACCAAAGUAUAUAUAGAGUACAAGAGGUAUCAAAUCCUACCAACUAUAGGACUGUACAAUAAUGGAAGAAAUCAAAUCCUACCAACUAUAGGACUGUCCUAACUUGGUCAAGAUCACGCGCCUUCCUUUCCCUUUCUUUAGCUAACCUGAAUAGCUUCAUGUCCCUGCCUUUCUCCCUUAAUUCCUCGUACAUGCGACCAAACGCCGCGUUUUUUGCUUCCGUAACUGCCAUCUUUGCUUCUUUCCUCGCCGCUUUGUAGAUCUCCCUGUUCACUAUCCGUUCUUCCUCGCUUGUGCUCCCUGAAGAAAGUACAAGAAAAAUCAGUUCCUUUUUUCUUUUGUGUCCCUAAAAUUUAUGUCCAAUGAAGUACAGCCCCUACAAAAACCCUAGUUUUGUUCAUUAUUAAAAAUUGACUAAAAAAAUAAAAAAAAAAUGGACUAAUAGAAACACAAUGUUUUACGUUUCAUUAGCUUCCUCUGUCGCCUUCUUGCACGCUCACACUUUUUGAUUUAGUUCCCAAUGAUUUCUGUCAGCUUUUUAAACUUUUUUUAAAGUGUCCAUUAAGCCUUAAAUAUUUGAAAAUAUAAAGAAAUUUAAAACAAGUACCUUGAAUUACUAUUAUUAUUUGGGAUCUUCACUGACGAAAAAAAUGUAAACUUUGUGAUUAAACCGAAAAAUCAUGGAAAAUGUAGAGAGAGAAUCUAGAGAGAAGGAGGAACAUUUGAGAACUCUCUAGAAGAGAGAGAGAGUUUAUUAAUCAGAAUGAUGAAAAUAAAAUCAAGUCCGUGAAAAUAUCUACUCCAAUACUAUAUACAAUUUACACACUAUCGGGUCGGGUCGGGUGAUCCGGCCCAAAAUUAAAUAACCUGUGGGCUCAGAUAUACAGUAAUCAUCAUAGCCCAUUACAAGGUAUAUCAUGAGUAUACCGCAAAUAUACAAUGAGUAUACAAUGAAUAUACAAAGUCUAUACAAGUGUAUGUCAGGUAUGAUCUCUUAUCUCAACACCCCCCCGCAAGUUGUAGGGGGAGACCACCUGCAACUUGAGCAAUAAGGGAUGAAGCACUGUCCCAGGCAAGGGCUUGGUCAUAAUGUCAGCUAGCUGACGAGUUGUAGGAACAUGAAACAGCUGAAUGAGGCCAUUCUGGAGCUAAUAGCGUACAAAGUGACAAUCCACUUCAAUGUGUUUGGUCCGUUCAUGAAAAACAGGAUUCUUAGCAAUGUGAAUAGCAGCUUGACUGUCAGAAUACAUAGAAAAAGGAAGAGAAACAUUAAUACCAAGAUCAUGAAACAAACGAGACAACCAAGAUAGUUCUGCAACAACCUUACUGAGGGCCCUGUAUUCAACCUCAGCAGAAGAUAAAGAAACCACAUGUUGCUUCUUAGAUUUCCAACUAAUCAGGCAACCACCCAGAGUAAUACAGAACCCAGUAACAGACCUCCUUGUAUCAGGGCAUGCAGCCCAGUCACUAUCAGAAUAACCAAUAACAAUGAAAUCAUUGCAAUCAGAAUAAAAGAGACCCAGAGAAGAAGUGCCCUUGAGAUAUCUCAGCACAUGAAGGGUCCAAUAACAGUGAAAUCACUGCAAUCAGAAUAAAAGAGACCCAGAGAAGAAGUUCCCUUGAGAUAUCUCAGCACAUGAAGGGCAGCAGUCAUAUGGGGGAGUCUGGGGAAUUCAAGGAAUUGACUCAGAUGUUGCACAACAAAACAGAUGUCAGGCCUAGUAUGGGUCAGAAAUAAGAGUUUACCAACAAGACUCAUAUACUGAUCAGGAGAAAGUAAAAGGUCAUCAAAAUCAGCAUGUAAUUUUGCAGUAAUGUCCAAAGGACAGACAACAGAAGAGACAUUGACACAGUCAAACUGUUGCAGCAAAUCACAAAUAUAUUUGUGUUGAUUAAGGAUCAUCCCACCAGGAAUAGCUGACAUCUCAAUGCCUAAAAAAUAAUGUAAGGACCCUAGGUCCUUAAUUUUAAACUGAUCAUCCAGAAACAGUUUCAGGGCAGCAAUUUCAUCACAGUCAUCCCCAGUAAGGAUGAUAACAUCCACAUAAACAGCUACAAUCACAAGGGACCCUGGUGUACCUUUUAUGAAUAGGGAAUAAUCAUUCAAAGAAUGCCUAUAGCCUCUGGAGUAGAGGGCAGAAGACAACUUGGCAUACCAUUGUCUGGAAGCCUGUCUGAGCCCAUAUAGGGAUUUGUUUAAUUUGCAAACAAGGGGAGCAGUAGAGGCAGAAGGGGCAGAAACAAAGGCAGGAGCAGAAACAACUAAACCAGGAGGAAGAUUCAUAUAGACCUCCUCAUCCAAAUCACCAUGCAAGAAAGCAUUAUUAAUAUCUAGUUGAAAUAAAGUCCAAUGAUUUUUCAUAGCCACAGCAAUAAGACACUUAAAUGUGCACAUUUUAACCAGGAAAAAAGGUGUCAGUGAAGUCAAUACCUUCAACCUGAGUAUCACCUCUAAUAACAAGUCUAGCUUNNN